GAAAAAGAACCUGAAACCGUGUACGUACAAGCAGUGGGAGCCCCACCACUAAGCCAGUGGUGAACUCCACAUACGCAUCCUUUGCUGAAGGCAAUGGUUAACGGAGCGAAAGCGACGUUCAACCGCAAAACAAGCAGAGGGGGCUUAGUGGUGGGGUGACUGCGUACCUUUUGUAUAAUGGGUCAGCGACUUAUAUUCUGUAGCAAGGUUAACCGUAUAGGGGAGCCGGAGGGAAACCGAGUCUUAAUUGGGCGUUAAGUUGCAGGGUAUAGACCCGAAACCCGGUGAUCUAGCCAUGGGCAGGUUGAAGGUUGGGUAACACUAACUGGAGGACCGAACCGACUAAUGUUGAAAAAUUAGCGGAUGACCUGUGGCUGGGGGUGAAAGGCCAAUCAAACCGGGAGAUAGCUGGUUCUCCCCGAAAGCUAUUUAGGUAGCGCCUCGUGAAUUCAUCUCCGGGGGUAGAGCACUGUUUCGGCUAGGGGGCCAUCCCGGCUUACCAACCCGAUGCAAACUGCGAAUACCGGAGAAUGUUAUCACGGGAGACACACGGCGGGUGCUAACGUCCGUCGUGAAGAGGGAAACAACCCAGACCGCCAGCUAAGGUCCCAAAGUCAUGGUUAAGUGGGAAACGAUGUGGGAAGGCCCAGACAGCCAGGAUGUUGGCUUAGAAGCAGCCAUCAUUUAAAGAAAGCGUAAUAGCUCACUGGUCGAGUCGGCCUGCGCGGAAGAUGUAACGGGGCUAAACCAU
rnacentral:rRNA from 1 species